rnacentral:rRNA from 1 species
CCAAUGGUCUUCGAUAUCUUGGUACAAAGUUCCACCCAUGGCAACGUUAAAGAGUUGGGUACCACGGCAGACAGAGAAAAUGGGCUUUUUCUGUUUAAUAGCUUCCUUGAUGAGGGCCAGUUCGAAGAUAUCUCUUUGAAGGUGAUAGUCAUCGCUAUCAAUGGUUUUGGGUUCGCCAUAGAAUUUUGGAUCGACAUUUUGCCCACCUGUCAAGAUGAGCUUGUCAAUCAAACUGAUAUAGUGGCAGGCCAUUUCUUGAUCACCAAUCGGUAGGAUGAUGGGAAUCCCUCCAGCAUCUUUAACGCCUUCAACAAAGCCUUUUGCUGCGUAGCUCAUCAUGAUGUCAUCAUCUGGAUGAGCUUUUUCGUUUCCUGUAAUCCCAAUAACUGGUUUUUUCAUAAAAUGAUUUUCGCUUUCUAAUCCUCUUUUCGCAUGAAGUAGAGGAGGGUUUGGAGUUCACUUGUCAAAUCGACAUACUGAACGACCACGUCUUUUGGUAAAUGCAGAUGGACUGGUGAAAAACUGAGAAUUCCUUUCACACCAGCAUCAACCAAGAGAUUAGCAACCUCUUGUGACUUGACGCUGGGAACAGUUAGGAUAGCAGUCUUCACAUCAGCAUCCUUGAUUUUAUCCUUGAUCUGAGAAAUCCCGUAAAUGGGAAUCCCGUCAGGAGUUUGGGUACCGACUUCAGGAUGGUCGUCUAGGUCAAAGGCCAUGAUAAUCUUCAUCUUGUUACGUUCGUGGAAGCGGUAGUGGAGAAGGGCAUGGCCCAUAUUUCCAAUACCAACCAGCAUGACAUUGGUAAUAGAGUUGUCAUUGAGCAAAUCGGCAAAAAAUGUCAUUAGUUUUUUGACAUCAUAGCCAAAACCACGACGACCAAGUUCACCAAAAUAGGAAAAANNNNNNNNNNNNNNNNUGUGAUGGGGAGCGAAGUUUAGUAGCGAAGUUAGUGACGUCACACUGCCAAGAAAAGCUUCUAGCGUUUAAACAUACUCUACCCGUACCGCAAACCGACACAGGUAGUCGAGGCGAGUAGCCUCAGGUGAGCGAGAGAACUCUCGUUAAGGAACUCGGCAAAAUGACCCCGUAACUUCGGGAGAAGGGGUGCUGACUUUAAGUCAGCCGCAGUGAAUAGGCCCAAGCAACUGUUUAUCAAAAACACAGCUCUCUGCUAAAUCGUAAGAUGAUGUAUAGGGGGUGACGCCUGCCCGGUGCUGGAAGGUUAAGAGGAGUGCUUAGCGUAAGCGAAGGUAUGAAUUGAAGCCCCAGUAAACGGCGGCCGUAACUAUAACGGUCCUAAGGUAGCGAAAUUCCUUGUCGGGUAAGUUCCGACCCGCACGAAAGGCGUAAUGAUUUGGGCACUGUCUCAACGAGAGACUCGGUGAAAUUUUAGUACCUGUGAAGAUGCAGGUUACCCGCGACAGGACGGAAAGACCCCAUGGAGCUUUACUGCAGUUUGAUAUUGAGUGUCUGUACCACAUGUACAGGAUAGGUAGGAGUCUAAGAGAUCGGGACGCCAGUUUCGAAGGAGACGCUGUUGGGAUACUACCCUUGUGUUAUGGCCACUCUAACCCAGAUAGGUGAUCCCUAUCGGAGACAGUGUCUGACGGGCAGUUUGACUGGGGCGGUCGCCUCCUAAAAGGUAACGGAGGCGCCCAAAGGUUCCCUCAGAAUGGUUGGAAAUCAUUCGCAGAGUGUAAAGGUAUAAGGGAGCUUGACUGCGAGAGCUACAACUCGAGCAGGGACGAAAGUCGGGCUUAGUGAUCCGGUGGUUCCGUAUGGAAGGGCCAUCGCUCAACGGAUAAAAGCUACCCUGGGGAUAACAGGCUUAUCUCCCCCAAGAGUUCACAUCGACGGGGAGGUUUGGCACCUCGAUGUCGGCUCGUCGCAUCCUGGGGCUGUAGUCGGUCCCAAGGGUUGGGCUGUUCGCCCAUUAAAGCGGCACGCGAGCUGGGUUCAGAACGUCGUGAGACAGUUCGGUCCCUAUCCGUCGCGGGCGUAGGAAAUUUGAGAGGAUCUGCUCCUAGUACGAGAGGACCAGAGUGGACUUACCGCUGGUGUACCAGUUGUCUUGCCAAAGGCAUCGCUGGGUAGCUAUGUAGGGAAGGGAUAAACGCUGAAAGCAUCUAAGUGUGAAACCCACCUCAAGAUGAGAUUUCCCAUGAUUAUAUAUCAGUAAGAGCCCUGAGAGAUGAUCAGGUAGAUAGGUUAGAAGUGGAAGUGUGGCGACACAUGUAGCGGACUAAUACUAAUAGCUCGAGGACUUAUCCAA